UACGGGGGGGGCGAGCGUUGUUCGGAAUUACUGGGCGUAAAGGGCUCGUAGGCGGCCAACUAAGUCAGACGUGAAAUCCCUCGGCUUAACCGGGGAACUGCGUCUGAUACUGGAUGGCUUGAGGUUGGGAGAGGGAUGCGGAAUUCCAGGUGUAGCGGUGAAAUGCGUAGAUAUCUGGAGGAACACCGGUGGCGAAGGCGGCAUCCUGGACCAACACUGACACUGAUGAGCGAAAGCCAGGGGAGCAAACGGG
rnacentral:rRNA from 1 species